GACGAACGCUGGCGGCGUGCUUAACACAUGCAAGUCGAGCGGUAAGGCCUUUCGGGGUACACGAGCGGCGAACGGGUGAGUAACACGUGGGCGACCUGCCCUCAGCUCUGGGAUAAGCCUGGGAAACUGGGUCUAAUACCGGAUAUGACCACAUGUCGCAUGGUGUGUGGUGGUAAAGUUUUUCGGCGUGGGGAUGGGCCCGCGGCCUAUCAGCUUGUUGGUGGGGUGAUGGCCACCAAGGCGACGACGGGUAGCCGGCCUGAGAGGGCGACCGGCCACACUGGGACUGAGAUACGGCCCAGACUCCUACGGGAGGCAGCAGUGGGGAAUAUUGCGCAAUGGGCGAAAGCCUGACGCAGCGACGCCGCGUGGGGAUGACGGCCU
rnacentral:rRNA from 1 species